ensembl:snRNA U7 U7 small nuclear RNA
UAAUGCUCACAGCUCUUUUUGAAUUUGUCUAGCAGGUCUUCUAUUUUUUUACCGGAAGGCCCUA